ensembl:lncRNA
CUUUCACCAAGCUCAGUCGUGACAGAUCAAGUCCACAUGGCAACUAUUAUUUUUACAGUGCACUAGUUUGGACCAGGAACCAGGGGACACAAGUUAGGACCAGGAACCAGGGGAGCACCAGUUUGGACCAGAAAUCAGGGGGCACCAGUUUGGACCAGGGACCACGGGGGAACCGAAAAAAUGUGUAUUGCCUAUUAAACUGGAAACAUGGACAAGAUUAUUCUGGACCUUCUCACAGCUUGUUGCCAGCAGCAUACACACGCUGGAUCUGAAUUUGAUCAUUCUGUUGUUAAAUAGGAAUUUCAGACCUGUUGUGUAUUCAGAGUUUAAAUAGAUUUCUAGACUUCUAAAUGUUGACUCAUGUGGACUCAAUCUAGCUCUACCAAAUAUUUCAAACUAUUUUCAAGGUAUUUCAAAAUAUCCAUUAGUUCCCUUAACAAUUGCCCUUUCUUGUUGCUGUAACAUUGUUUUCCUACUUGUUCAACCUUUGAACUGGCUAAUCAUUGAUUAAACAUUGAACUUUGUAAUCAUU